AUUGAACGCUGGCGGCAGGCCUAACACAUGCAAGUCGAGCGGAUGAAGGGAGCUUGCUCCUGGAUUCAGCGGCGGACGGGUGAGUAAUGCCUAGGAAUCUGCCUGGUAGUGGGGGAUAACGUCCGGAAACGGGCGCUAAUACCGCAUACGUCCUGAGGGAGAAAGUGGGGGAUCUUCGGACCUCACGCUAUCGGAUGAGCCUAGGUCGGAUUAGCUAGUUGGUGGGGUAAAGGCCUACCAAGGCGACGAUCCGUAACUGGUCUGAGAGGAUGAUCAGUCACACUGGAACUGAGACACGGUCCAGACUCCUACGGGAGGCAGCAGUAGGGAAUAUUGGACAAUGGGCGAAAGCCUGAUCCAGCCAUGCCGCGUGUGUGAAGAAGGUCUUCGGAUUGUAAAGCACUUUAAGUUGGGAGGAAGGGCAGUAAGUUAAUACCUUGCUGUUUUGACGUUACCAACAGAAUAAGCACCGGCUAACUUCGUG
rnacentral:rRNA from 1 species